UUAAGCGACUAAGCGUACACGGUGGAUGCCCUGGCAGUCAGAGGCGAUGAAGGACGUGCUAAUCUGCGAUAAGCGUCGGUAAGGUGAUAUGAACCGUUAUAACCGGCGAUUUCCGAAUGGGGAAACCCAGUGUGAUUCGUCACACUAUCAUUAACUGAAUCCAUAGGUUAAUGAGGCGAACCGGGGGAACUGAAACAUCUAAGUACCCCGAGGAAAAGAAAUCAACCGAGAUUCCCCAGUAGCGGCGAGCGAACGGGGAGCAGCCCAGAGCCUGAAUCAGUGUGUGUGUUAGUGGAAGCGUCUGGAAAGGCGUGCGAUACAGGGUGACAGCCCCGUACACAAAAAUGCACAUGCUGUGAGCUCGAUGAGUAGGGCGGGACACGUGGUAUCCUGUCUGAAUAUGGGGGGACCAUCCUCCAAGGCUAAAUACUCCUGACUGACCGAUAGUGAACCAGUACCGUGAGGGAAAGGCGAAAAGAACCCCGGCGAGGGGAGUGAAAAAGAACCUGAAACCGUGUACGUACAAGCAGUGGGAGCACAGAGCAAUCUGUGUGACUGCGUACCUUUUGUAUAAUGGGUCAGCGACUUAUAUUCUGUAGCAAGGUUAACCGAAUAGGGGAGCCGAAGGGAAACCGAGUCUUAACUGGGCGUUAAGUUGCAGGGUAUAGACCCGAAACCCGGUGAUCUAGCCAUGGGCAGGUUGAAGGUUGGGUAACACUAACUGGAGGACCGAACCGACUAAUGUUGAAAAAUUAGCGGAUGACUUGUGGCUGGGGGUGAAAGGCCAAUCAAACCGGGAGAUAGCUGGUUCUCCCCGAAAGCUAUUUAGGUAGCGCCUCGUGAAUUCAUCUCCGGGGGUAGAGCACUGUUUCGGCAAGGGGGUCAUCCCGACUUACCAACCCGAUGCAAACUGCGAAUACCGGAGAAUGUUAUCACGGGAGACACACGGCGGGUGCUAACGUCCGUCGUGAAGAGGGAAACAACCCAGACCGCCAGCUAAGGUCCCAAAGUCAUGGUUAAGUGGGAAACGAUGUGGGAAGGCCCAGACAGCCAGGAUGUUGGCUUAGAAGCAGCCAUCAUUUAAAGAAAGCGUAAUAGCUCACUGGUCGAGUCGGCCUGCGCGGAAGAUGUAACGGGGCUAAACCAUGCACCGAAGCUGCGGCAGCGACGCUUAUGCGUUGUUGGGUAGGGGAGCGUUCUGUAAGCCUGCGAAGGUGUGCUGUGAGGCAUGCUGGAGGUAUCAGAAGUGCGAAUGCUGACAUAAGUAACGAUAAAGCGGGUGAAAAGCCCGCUCGCCGGAAGACCAAGGGUUCCUGUCCAACGUUAAUCGGGGCAGGGUGAGUCGACCCCUAAGGCGAGGCCGAAAGGCGUAGUCGAUGGGAAACAGGUUAAUAUUCCUGUACUUGGUGUUACUGCGAAGGGGGGACGGAGAAGGCUAUGUUGGCCGGGCGACGGUUGUCCCGGUUUAAGCGUGUAGGCUGGUUUUCCAGGCAAAUCCGGAAAAUCAAGGCUGAGGCGUGAUGACGAGGCACUACGGUGCUGAAGCAACAAAUGCCCUGCUUCCAGGAAAAGCCUCUAAGCAUCAGGUAACAUCAAAUCGUACCCCAAACCGACACAGGUGGUCAGGUAGAGAAUACCAAGGCGCUUGAGAGAACUCGGGUGAAGGAACUAGGCAAAAUGGUGCCGUAACUUCGGGAGAAGGCACGCUGAUAUGUAGGUGAAGUCCCUCGCGGAUGGAGCUGAAAUCAGUCGAAGAUACCAGCUGGCUGCAACUGUUUAUUAAAAACACAGCACUGUGCAAACACGAAAGUGGACGUAUACGGUGUGACGCCUGCCCGGUGCCGGAAGGUUAAUUGAUGGGGUCAGCGCAAGCGAAGCUCUUGAUCGAAGCCCCGGUAAACGGCGGCCGUAACUAUAACGGUCCUAAGGUAGCGAAAUUCCUUGUCGGGUAAGUUCCGACCUGCACGAAUGGCGUAAUGAUGGCCAGGCUGUCUCCACCCGAGACUCAGUGAAAUUGAACUCGCUGUGAAGAUGCAGUGUACCCGCGGCAAGACGGAAAGACCCCGUGAACCUUUACUAUAGCUUGACACUGAACAUUGAGCCUUGAUGUGUAGGAUAGGUGGGAGGCUUUGAAGUGUGGACGCCAGUCUGCAUGGAGCCGACCUUGAAAUACCACCCUUUAAUGUUUGAUGUUCUAACGUUGACCCGUAAUCCGGGUUGCGGACAGUGUCUGGUGGGUAGUUUGACUGGGGCGGUCUCCUCCUAAAGAGUAACGGAGGAGCACGAAGGUUGGCUAAUCCUGGUCGGACAUCAGGAGGUUAGUGCAAUGGCAUAAGCCAGCUUGACUGCGAGCGUGACGGCGCGAGCAGGUGCGAAAGCAGGUCAUAGUGAUCCGGUGGUUCUGAAUGGAAGGGCCAUCGCUCAACGGAUAAAAGGUACUCCGGGGAUAACAGGCUGAUACCGCCCAAGAGUUCAUAUCGACGGCGGUGUUUGGCACCUCGAUGUCGGCUCAUCACAUCCUGGGGCUGAAGUAGGUCCCAAGGGUAUGGCUGUUCGCCAUUUAAAGUGGUACGCGAGCUGGGUUUAGAACGUCGUGAGACAGUUCGGUCCCUAUCUGCCGUGGGCGCUGGAGAAUUGAGGGGGGCUGCUCCUAGUACGAGAGGACCGGAGUGGACGCAUCACUGGUGUUCGGGUUGUCAUGCCAAUGGCACUGCCCGGUAGCUAAAUGCGGAAGAGAUAAGUGCUGAAAGCAUCUAAGCACGAAACUUGCCCCGAGAUGAGUUCUCCCUGACUCCUUGAGAGUCCUGAAGGAACGUUGAAGACGACGACGUUGAUAGGCCGGGUGUGUAAGCGCAGCGAUGCGUUGAGCUAACCGGUACUAAUGAACCGUGAGGCUUAACCU
rnacentral:rRNA from 1 species